AGAGUUAAAUAGUACGUGAAAUUGUUGAAAGGGAAACGAUUGAAGUCAGUCGUACUUACGAGUGAUCAACCUUUUUGGUGCGAUCUUGUGGGUAUCUGAGAGUGGUAACACCUUGAUGUUCUCAAGUUCGUGCUUUGGGGCGUACUUGCUCGUUUGUAGGUUAACAUCAGUUUCAAGAGUUACAAAAUGACUAAAGGAAUGUAGCUUUGAUUUCGAUUGAAGUGUUAUAGUCUUUGGUAGAUGUAACGAUUGAGACUGAGGAUUGCAACGAAUACCUUUUAGGCUAUCUGUCUGGCUUCUGGUUAUCGCUUUGGUGCCGAAAGCUUGCUUACGGUUAUCGAAGUUCGGUAUCCAAUAGGUUAGAACGGAUUAAAUUCGUUAAGGAUGUUGACGUAAUGGCUUUAAACGA
rnacentral:misc_RNA from 1 species